rnacentral:rRNA from 1 species
UACGUAGGGGCCUAGCGUUGUCCGGAUUUAUUGGGCGUAAAGAGCUCGUAGGCGGCACGGUUAGUCAGGUGUGAAAUCUCCACGCUCAACGUGGAGGGGUCACCUGAUACUGCCGAGCUUGAGUCCGGUAGGGGAGUGUGGAAUUCCCGGUGUAGAGGUGAAAUGCGUAGAUAUCUGGAGGAACACCGGUGGCGAAGGCGGCAUCCUGGACCAACACUGACACUGAGGAGCGAAAGCCAGGGGAGCAAACGGG